ACAGGCACAGUCAGAGUUCCUGGGGGCUGUCAGAGUUCCUGAUCAUACCCAACCAAUGGGGCAUGACCAUGCAAUGCCACCAGACUGGGACACAGCUUGGGUCCUGGGAGAAGGGUGUAUAAG